UUUUUAUCUAACAUUGUUUAUUUAGUACAAGCUAAAUUAGCACAUUGGAUUUUAAACAACCCUGGAAAAAAUUUCUACUAUUUUCAUUGUGAAAAACCAAGCAGUCACUUUAUAAUUUGUAAAAAUUUCACUUUCAGGUGAAAGUUUUGUUAUAAUAACUGUCUAAGAAUGUCUAAUUGGUCAACAAGAUUAUGCGUUGAGUCUUGUCUUGAACAAAACUUGUAUUCAGGUAUUAAACUUUAAAUAAGUGUGAACAGUUAUUAAGGCUGAAAAUUAAUCUGCCCUCAGUUGGCCCACUGUGGUUUGUACAGAGGCACAGACAAUGCAUGCUAUGGCCUCAGUGUCGGCGUCCUUGUGGCAGAGUGUGUUUUCAAAUGAUGCUGCUGAAUCCACAAUGAAGCACACACUGAUCACGUGAACCCCAGAGAAUGUCUGCAAGAAGGUCACUAGCGUUUUUAGGCAGUGAUAAAAAUGGAGUUCUACAUUCUCAGCACAGCCUGUGAGACGGCGAGGUUUCACUUCCAUCACAACACACAUGCAAGGGCACUGGGCACAGGAGUGGGGAGGGUUUGCCUUGCUUGGGGUAAACUUCCCCACAUCCCAGAAGGCUGGGGAGCGCAGGCUUGGACAGGAAGUUCGCAAGAUGCUGAGAACUAGAGUCUGGGUCACAAGGCCUCAAAGUCAGAUGCAAAGGUUUCAAGCAGGCAUCUGAAGAGGUGGCGGUGGAUGCAGGACUUUCCAAGGGAUCAAAAACAGUGACCCAGGACCGCGGGCAUUUGACCUCUCUCCCUCUUUUCUCAUAUUGUAUCUGACAUACUCAUCCAUUCAGCCUUUCAUAUGUGGAAUUCAGACACGUGUACUCUGCUAACAGGAGGAUGUUUCAAACUCUCAGAUGGGAGCGGUGCCUGCCAGCCACUUCAUUCAGUUCCAACAGCAGCAUUUUUGGCUCUGCAAUUGUUUUGGUUGUCAAUUAUUUGAAUUUUUUGUUAUUUUAUAAAAAAUAGAACAUUAGAGACUUCUACUUAAACCUGAGUGUUUGAACACAACUUUUCAUCUCUGUUUCCUCCUAAAACCCAACUAAAAUAACACUGAAAAAAAAAGGUAUAAACAAACAAAGAAAAAGAAAAAGGAACAGAAGAUGACAACAGUUUAGAGAUAUCAAUAAACUUUUGGAAGAGGGACAAUGAAGCAAUGAGUGGUUUCUGACUUAGCAGAAGAGAGAAUUUACCAAAAGAGCAUACUUAUUCUACUGACAGAAUUAAGGAAUUCAAGACAACAGGUAGUUGUAAAGGCUUAAACGUGGGAUGGAACGCUCAACUAGGAUAUUGGUUGAAAGUCUAUAUAAAGAGCAGUCAGACGCCCAGGUUUCCUCCUUCGGUCUAAGUAGCUGUGUGGCAUCCCUCCCUGACCCCAACAGCAAGGAAGUCGUUGCUGCCCAGGGAUAGAAGCAGAGCAUCUCUGAACUUAGGGACACCUAGCACUGCUAAAGGUAGGGGGAAGGCACCAAAUUGAAAACAGAGGGAUUAACUGAAAGUCAUCCGACUGAAUGGUAGGCACCCCCAUAUUCUUUGCUUGAGUCCCAGAAUGCUACCACCUAGACAUAUAUCUUGGACCUACCCACCACUCUCAGAAGAAGUUGAGAAGAUUCCCCUCUGGGGAAACUGACCAUCCCAAGAAAAAAGACCUACGGAUACUGACAUUUGGGGGUCUCCCAAUGAACAGUAGUUUCUUAUGGUUAGCACAUUAGUUAACAAUUCUGCCUGUGCACAUAGAACUUUCAAUCAGAUUUUCAGUGUCUCAUUGUUAAAUAUGAAUUGACUACCAGAUAUUCGAGGAAAUCCUAUAACUCUAAAGACAAAAAAACAAAAUAAGCAAAAAAAAAGAGAUCUUAGAAGAAAGAAAGACAAUUCAGGGAGCAUAAGUAAAUUUCAAAAUAAGUAUAAAUAACAUGUUCAGACAUAUAAAAAUAUUUUGCAUCUAUUAAAUAUGAAUAUGAUGUCAUGGAAAAAGAAUGUUUAGAAAAUGAGAAAUAAAAUAAUAAAACCCAAAAUUAAAAGCCCAAUGGAAGAGUUGGAAGACCAACUUGAGAAAAUAUUACAGAGUGUGGAAGAAAAGAGACAAACAAAUAGAAAAUAGAAGAAAAAAGACAAGAAUUUAGAUUAAUCUGUGAGGUACAAAAAGAUUCCAAAAAGAUGAAGAAAGAAUAAAGGAGAGGAAUUAUCAAUAAAAUAAUAAAAGAAAACUUCCCAUACAAUAGGGGGAAAGAGAAGAUUUGAAAAAUUUUCAGGGAGAAAAAAUAAGAAAGAUUCGAAGGAUCAGGAAUUGUAUUUCUCAAAAGCGAUGCUGAAAGCUAGAAGGCUUUGCAACAAUGCCUCAAAAUUCUGAGAGAACAUUAUUUCCAACCUGGAUUUUUAUUCCCAGCUAAAUAUUUAAUUAAGUUAGAGGGUAGAAUUAAGACUGGUUAUGGUCUCAAAAAAUAAAAUAAAAAGUAUUUCUUGUGUACACUUCCUCUGGAAGCUACUGGUGAAUUUGUUCCAAAAGAAUGAGGAGAUAAGCCAAGCAAGAGGAAAAUGUGGGCUCGUGCAAGGAGAGGACACAGCACAGGAGCGGAGCGAGGGGCUUCUCGGGCUGCUGGAAAGGGAAGCCCCAGGAUGGUGGGCUUCAAGAGCAAGCGGUGCGGGGCGGACGGAUGGCGAGGACCCUGGAGGGAGAGAUUCAAGAAUAGGAAGAAACAUAAAACUGAUCAACUUACUGAUGUUGACCAUACUGAGAAGACUAUUGUAUUCCUCUUAGAAAGUUUGGGGAUGAAUUAGUAACAAUUACCUGGAAAACUAAGCAAACAUAAACCAAGAUAGUACCUGGGAAAAAAUGUAGUACCUGACAGUAAAUAAACUCAAAGUUGACUCAGUGGUUCAACUGUGACAUGUGUCUACCUAGCAAUAAAAUGUCAAUUCUGAUUUUUAUGUUGGUUAGUAUAAUUCUGAACAUUGAUUUAAUUAAAAUAAUAGUGACAUAGCUCUACUGGUAGACAGAAAACGAGGAAAGAUGUAUAUGGUGGCCGGGGACGGGGGAGAGUGGCAAGGAAAUUCAAUCCUCCUCUUCUAUCAUUUGAAGGAAAUAAUGUCUAAAAUAAAAAAAAUUGGGGGCCAGCCCAUGGCG
ensembl:lncRNA